CUGCCUUGCUGGCCAGCCAGCAGCCGAACUCAGCAUGUCUUCUCAUUCCAACUCUCUCAUGAAGGGAUUAUAACUUUGAGUUUGUACAGCCUUUGGCUGACAGGACACAGGGGGAAGGCGGCGCACAGAUGGAAAAUUGGAGUGAUAAGUCUGGAAACCAAGGAAGAUGGCCGGCAAUCUGCCAGAAGUCAGAGAAAGGCAAGGAAGGAUUCCUCCCUACAGUUUCAGAAGAUUUCUAGCUUCCAUCUUCUAGAACUACAACAAAGAAAGUACUUCCUGUGGCAUCACAAGUCUCAUCGAUACUCAAUAAAUAUUCACAUCCAGGAGAAAAAAAA